rnacentral:rRNA from 1 species
AUGAUGGCGGUGAGCGACGGGGCAGGGCCGAACCCGCUGCAGUUGACGACGAGCGCGCCGACGGCGGACGGCGGCACGCCCGUCUUAGCGAACAGCUCGUCGAGCGUGGGGAAGAAGAGCAUCCCCGCCUCCUGGACGGCGUCGGCGUGCGUGGCGGAGGUGCUCGAGCAGGCCCGGGAUGGUGACGCGCAGCCGGCGGGGCGGCUUCAGGUACGCGAAGUCCACCAGGCCGAUGUCCGCACGUCGGCCGGAGCGCCACAGGUGCGUCAUCAUCGCGCAGACCGGGAGGAGGUACAGCGCCGCGUGCCGCCGGAAGACGAGGACGGACAGCUCGGCAACGAGGCACAGGAUGAGGACGGCGACGCCGAGGACGCCGUGCACGGCGGCGAGGAGGUGGUCUCUGUGCGCCAUCUCCAUGUCCGUUCGGCCGGCCUGCUUAUCUCGCGAUCUCUUGAAUGUUUUAGACACUGA